rnacentral:tRNA from 1 species
GCGCGUGUAGCUCAGUUGGUUAGAGCAUGGCUCUUAUAAAGCCAGGGUCGAUGGUUCGAAUCCAUCCACGCGCACCA